UCGACGAUGAAUCUUCUAGCUUGCUAGAAGUGGAUUAGUGGCGCACGGGUGAGUAAUGCAUAGGUUAUGUGCCCUUUAGUCUGGGAUAGCCACUGGAAACGGUGAUUAAUACUGGAUACUCCCUACGGGGGAAAGUUUUUCGCUAAAGGAUCAGCCUAUGUCCUAUCAGCUUGUUGGUGAGGUAAUGGCUCACCAAGGCUAUGACGGGUAUCCGGCCUGAGAGGGUGAUCGGACACACUGGAACUGAGACACGGUCCAGACUCCUACGGGAGGCAGCAGUAGGGAAUAUUGCUCAAUGGGGGAAACCCUGAAGCAGCAACGCCGCGUGGAGGAUGGAGGUUUUAGGAUUGUAAACUCCUUUUGUUAGAGAAGAUUAUGACGGUAUCUAACGAAUAAGCACCGGCUAACUCCGUGCCAGCAGCCGCGGUAAUACGGAGGGUGCAAGCGUUACUCGGAAUCACUGGGCGUAAAGAGUGCGUAGGCGGGGUAAUAAGUCAGAUGUGAAAUCCUGUAGCUUAACUACAGAACUGCAUUUGAAACUGUUACUCUGGAGUGUGGGAGAGGUAGGUGGAAUUCUUGGUGUAGGGGUAAAAUCCGUAGAGAUCAAGAGGAAUACUCAUUGCGAAGGCGACCUGCUGGAACAUUACUGACGCUGAUGCACGAAAGCGUGGGGAGCAAACAGGAUUAGAUACCCUGGUAGUCCACGCCCUAAACGAUGGAUGCUAGUUGUUGCCUUGCUUGUCAGGGCAGUAAUGCAGCUAACGCAUUAAGCAUCCCGCCUGGGGAGUACGGUCGCAAGAUUAAAACUCAAAGGAAUAGACGGGGACCCGCACAAGCGGUGGAGCAUGUGGUUUAAUUCGAAGAUACGCGAAGAACCUUACCUAGGCUUG
rnacentral:rRNA from 1 species